rnacentral:lncRNA from 1 species
UGCAUAAUUAAAUUUUAUAGCGUAAAAGCAAAAUAAAUUCAUACAUACAGUAACACAGAUAACCAGAGUAUGUAAUUUAAUUUACAAUAACGUGUGGGCCCCCGAAUGACCAAAGGUAACAAAGGCUGUAGACCUACAAUUUUUGAGGAGGCGAGUCCAAUAAUAACCCUCGACGUAAUCAGCUAUUUAUGGACUGUUCUGAUCUUGGAAUGAGUGGAAAGGAGGGUGGUGAGUUUAUAUAAACUCAGUGAGUAAACAAAUAUCAUCUAAAAUAUCUAAAGUCGAGUAAAUGGAGACAACUUAAAAUAGUUCAUCGUACUAUGAUUCAUAACGUUUCAAACUCAUUUCAACUAAAUAAAAUAAUUUCAUUUCACUCAAAUAAUCAACAUGGCUUAUGAAUUUCUUAAAAAUUUGGCUUGUGCCAAAACUCAUUNN